UUUAGAAAAUACAGACUAUUAUGGAGUAGAAACAUUACCUAAACAUCCAUGCAGAGAAAAUGACAACUAAUAUUUGACUAUGUCUUCUGUCUUCUUUCCAGCAUCUACUCCUGUCUUCUGCAAAUUACUUCUCAUCUCUCAUGAUUUUGUACAUAUAAGGCGAACACUUCGAAGUAUGUCGUUUUGGGCAAGCUAUAUACAUCUUUCUUGGCCCAACAGAAGGAUGAUUCCUAAAAGAUGUGUAAAAUAAAAGUUUCAG
rnacentral:lncRNA from 1 species